rnacentral:rRNA from 1 species
CCUACGGGCGGCACCAGUAGGGAAUCUUCGGCAAUGGAUGAAAGUCUGACCGAGCAACGCCGCGUGAGUGAAGAAGGUUUUCGGAUCGUAAAACUCUGUUGGUAGAGAAGAACGUUGGUGAGAGUGGAAAGCUCAUCAAGUGACGGUAACUACCCAGAAAGGGACGGCUAACUACGUGCCAGCAGCCGCGGUAAUACGUAGGUCCCGAGCGUUGUCCGGAUUUAUUGGGCGUAAAGCGAGCGCAGGUGGUUUAUUAAGUCUGGUGUAAAAGGCAGUGGCUCAACCAUUGUAUGCAUUGGAAACUGGUAGACUUGAGUGCAGGAGAGGAGACUGGAAUUCCAUGUGUAGCGGUGAAAUGCGUAGCUAUAUGGAGGAACACCGGUGGCGAAAGCGGCUCUCUGGCCUGUAACUGACACUGAGGCUCGAAAGCGUGGGGAGCAAACAGGAUUAGAUACCCUUGUAUC